AUCUCUUUAUUAGCCCAUGAUUAACGUAGACGAUAAAACAUUAAAACUCAUUGAUUAACGAACACACAAACAAACUUUUGCCCGUAUUUCCAUUUCCCAAUCACAUUAAACUAAUAUUAUCAAUUUUUGUCUAAUAAAACAUGUCUUUCCAUAAACCUCAACUCCCAAAAUUCACUCCGUCCGAGUCGAUCCUGAGACGAUGGAAUCUGAGACCAUUCAAGCCUUGUUGAUGUCGAGUGAUACGAUGCUAUGAAGAACACGUUAGGAACACCGAUAGAGCUAGUCAGAAGGGAUAUCUUAGGGAAUACCGAUCGUUGGCUAUGUGGAAGGACAGAAGAGUCAUUUGUUCUACCUUGAUUGCACAUCAAAUAUAUGAAGGUAAAUUAGAAAGAAACUGUCGAAGAUAGUGGACGAGCAAAACACAAACCUCACUCAGAUGAUGAAUAAGGUCAAGAGAAUUGAAGGACGAGAGGGAGCAAGUGCAGGGGAAUCAUACGAUCUAUAGUUGCAGUCACCACAUGGGCACUGUGGACGGAGAGGAAGUUUAUCGCAUAGUUGCAGACAUAUAUAUCCACUAGAACAAGACUGAAGGAGUUUAAAUCGAAAGGCACGAGAAGGGAGAAGGAGUUAGUCAACAUCUGAAUACCUCAAAGCAAAUUCAAAUCAUAUUUAAA
rnacentral:lncRNA from 1 species